UACGAGGGGGGGCGAGCGUUGUUCGGAAUUAUUGGGCGUAAAGGGUGCGUAGGCGGUUCCGCAAGUCCUGUGUGAAAUCUUCGGGCUCAACUCGAAGUCUGCACGAGAAACUGCGGGGCUUGAGUGUGGGAGAGGUGAGUGGAAUUCCCGGUGUAGCGGUGGAAUGCGCAGAUAUCAGGAGGAACACCGGUGGCGAAGGCGGGUCUCUGGGCAGUAACUGACGCUGAGGAGCGAAAGCGUGGGGAGCGAACAGG
rnacentral:rRNA from 1 species